UACGUAGGGUGCGAGCGUUGUCCGGAAUUAUUGGGCGUAAAGCGCGUGUAGGCGGCUUUGCAAGUCGGGUGUGAAAGCCCUCGGCUCAACCGAGGAAGUGCGCCCGAAACUGCAGAGCUUGAGUACCGGAGAGGAUGGCGGAAUUCCCCAAGUAGAGGUGAAAUUCGUAGAUAUGGGGAGGAACACCGGUGGCGAAGGCGGCCAUCUGGACGGAUACUGACGCUGAGACGCGAAAGCGUGGGGAGCAAACAGG
rnacentral:rRNA from 1 species